rnacentral:rRNA from 1 species
GACGAACGCUGGCGGCGUGCUUAACACAUGCAAGUCGAACGGAAAGGCCCUGCUUUUGUGGGGUGCUCGAGUGGCGAACGGGUGAGUAACACGUGAGUAACCUGCCCUUGACUUUGGGAUAACUUCAGGAAACUGGGGCUAAUACCGGAUAGGAGCUCCUGCUGCAUGGUGGGGGUUGGAAAGUUUCGGCGGUUGGGGAUGGACUCGCGGCUUAUCAGCUUGUUGGUGGGGUAGUGGCUUACCAAGGCUUUGACGGGUAGCCGGCCUGAGAGGGUGACCGGCCACAUUGGGACUGAGAUACGGCCCAGACUCCUACGGGAGGCAGCAGUGGGGAAUAUUGCACAAUGGGCGGAAGCCUGAUGCAGCAACGCCGCGUGCGGGAUGACGGCCUUCGGGUUGUAAACCGCUUUCGCCUGUGACGAAGCGUGAGUGACGGUAAUGGGUAAAGAAGCACCGGCUAACUACGUGCCAGCAGCCGCGGUGAUACGUAGGGUGCGAGCGUUGUCCGGAUUUAUUGGGCGUAAAGGGCUCGUAGGUGGUUGAUCGCGUCGGAAGUGUAAUCUUGGGGCUUAACCCUGAGCGUGCUUUCGAUACGGGUUGACUUGAGGAAGGUAGGGGAGAAUGGAAUUCCUGGUGGAGCGGUGGAAUGCGCAGAUAUCAGGAGGAACACCAGUGGCGAAGGCGGUUCUCUGGGCCUUUCCUGACGCUGAGGAGCGAAAGCGUGGGGAGCGAACAGGCUUAGAUACCCUGGUAGUCCACGCUGUAAACGGUGGGUACUAGGUGUGGGGUCCAUUCCACGGGUUCCGUGCCGUAGCUAACGCUUUAAGUACCCCGCCUGGGGAGUACGGCCGCAAGGCUAAAACUCAAAGGAAUUGACGGGGCCCCGCACAAGCGGCGGAGCAUGCGGAUUAAUUCGAUGCAACGCGUAGAACCUUACCUGGGUUUGACAUGGAUCGGGAGUGCUCAGAGAUGGGUGUGCCUCUUUUGGGGUCGGUUCACAGGUGGUGCAUGCCUGUCGUCAGCUCGUGUCGUGAGAUGUUGGGUUAAGUCCCGCAACGAGCGCAACCCUUGUUCACUGUUGCCAGCACGUUAUGGUGGGGACUCAGUGGAGACCGCCGGGGUCAACUCGGAGGAAGGUGGGGAUGACGUCAAGUCAUCAUGCCCCUUAUGUCCAGGGCUUCACGCAUGCUACAAUGGCUGGCACAGAGAGUGGCGAGCCUGUGAGGGUGAGCGAAUCUCGGAAAGCCGGUCUCAGUUCGGAUUGGGGUCUGCAACUCGACCUCAUGAAGUCGGAGUCGCUAGUAAUCGCAGAUCAGCAACGCUGCGGUGAAUACAUGCCCGGGGCU